CCUACAUGAAGGACCCCAAGUGUCAUGAUAAGAUCAAAUAUAUAAAUGUGAAGUAUCACUAUAUUUGUGAGGUAGCAAAGUAGAAGGAAGUGAUCUUAGAACAUGCAUAUUUCUACGAGUCGCAUGGUUGCUGACCCUCUAACUAAGUCUAUUCAAAAAAAUGUAUUUUUGGCUAAUGUUAGGUCGCUUGGACUCCAUAGAGUUUGAUUUAUGUAGAUAGUUGAUCAUUUUUAUGUUAUUGGUACAUAAGAUAUUUUUGGUUGUUCAUGCAAUAAUAAAAUUUUAUUAUUUAUCUAUUUUUUUAUUGGCAUGAACCAAAAUUAGCA
rnacentral:lncRNA from 1 species